UCCAAUAGAGUCCAAGCAUUCAUAGCGAUGUUGCCUUUUGAUCCUUCAAUGUUAGCUCUUCCUAUCAUUGUGAAGCAGAAUUCACCAACUAUUGGAUUGUUCACCCACUAAUAGGGAACGUGAGCUGGGUUAGAUCAUCGUGAGGCAGGUU
rnacentral:ncRNA from 1 species